rnacentral:rRNA from 1 species
AACGAACGCUGGCGGCAUGCCUAACACAUGCAAGUCGAACGAGACCUUCGGGUCUAGUGGCGCACGGGUGCGUAACGCGUGGGAACCUGCCCUUAGGUUCGGAAUAACUCCCCGAAAGGGGUGCUAAUACCGGAUAAUGUCUUCGGACCAAAGAUUUAUCGCCUUUGGAUGGGCCCGCGUUGGAUUAGCUAGUUGGUAGGGUAAAAGCCUACCAAGGCGACGAUCCAUAGCUGGUCUGAGAGGAUGAUCAGCAACACUGGGACUGAGACACGGCCCAGACUCCUACGGGAGGCGGCAGUGGGGAAUAUUGGACAAUGGGCGAAAGCCUGAUCCAGCAAUGCCGCGUGAGUGAUGAAGGCCUUAGGGUUGUAAAGCUCUUUUACCCGGGAUGAUAAUGACAGUACCGGGAGAAUAAGCUCCGGCUAACUCCGUG